GACGAACGCUGGCGGCGUGCUUAACACAUGCAAGUCGAACGGUGAAGCGCCUUCCUUUUUGGUGGGUGUGGAUGAGUGGCGAACGGGUGAGUAACACGUGAGUAACCUGCCCCCUUCUUCUGGAUAACCGCUUGAAAGGGUGGCUAAUACGGGGUGUUCUGGCCUGCUCGCAUGGGUGGGUUUGGAAAGAUUCGACCGGUUUUGGUUGUUUUGGUGGGGGAUGGGCUCGCGGCCUAUCAGCUUGUUGGUGGGGUGAUGGCCUGCCAAGGCUUUGACGGGUAGCCGGCCUGAGAGGGUGGGCGGUCACACUGGGACUGAGACACGGCCCAGACUCCUACGGGAGGCAGCAGUGGGGAAUAUUGCACAAUGGGCGCAAGCCUGAUGCAGCGACGCCGCGUGAGGGAUGGAGGCCUUCGGGGUGUGAACCUCUUUCGCCAGUGAAGAAGGUCCUGCUCUUUGUGGUGGGGUUGACGGUAGCGGGGUUAAUGAAGCGCCGGCUAACUACGUG
rnacentral:rRNA from 1 species